UACGUAGGGUGCAAGCGUUGUCCGGAAUUAUUGGGCGUAAAGAGCUCGUAGGCGGUCUGUCGCGUCUGCUGUGAAAACUCAGGGCUUAACCCUGAGCUUGCAGUGGGUACGGGCAGACUAGAGUGCGGUAGGGGAGACUGGAAUUCCUGGUGUAGCGGUGAAAUGCGCAGAUAUCAGGAGGAACACCGGUGGCGAAGGCGGGUCUCUGGGCCGUAACUGACGCUGGAGGAGCG
rnacentral:rRNA from 1 species